GCACGUUUGAAGAAUAAACAAUACCUUUACGUCAUUUAAAUAAAUUCACAUUUACGUUACCCGUGUUGAGAAGACUUGAUUUCCCUUAAUCCAGCUCAGGUAGACCAUGGAGAUUACAGCACAAAACCAAGCCCUCCAUCCAUCUAGUCCAUGGCAAUCCAUUCUACGUUGUUCCAUCGACCUGCUCCUGAACUCUAGGCGACAUUCACAGCACGCUGGAGGAACUCAGCAGGUCAGGCAGCAUCAGUGGAAACGAUGAGUCGAUGUUUCGGGCCGGAACCCUUCGUCAGGACUGAAGAAAGAAGGAGGGGGAAAGAUUUGAAGAGUGCUUUGGUCUUCCAAAAAAACCUCUGGUCUUCCAACUGAACUUACGAGUGUUGCUUUGAUCCCAGCAUCUACAGAUUAUUUUGUGUUCCUGAACUCUAUUUCUCCAUUCCUCUCACAUUCAUGUACUUAGCUGAACUUCUCUUAAAUGUUGAAAUUGAAUCUGCACCAUCCUUAAUAUCUGACAUCCAGUUCUAGUCUCAUUCAACCUCAGUAGAAAAAUUCUGCUUGCAAUUACUUUAUAUCCAUAUAUAUAUAUAUCCCUCUUGUAUCCCUCACACCAUGAAAUCCCAAUGAAUGCUGUCUCUUGAUUCUCACAAAGUGAAGUAAAUCUAGUAAAUUUAAAAAUGCAUUUCCACCAAGAACCAACUGGAUUAUUCACUGGGAAUUAACGCUUAAUGUAUUUUUAGCGGAUGGGAGGGAAAAGUACUUUGUACUUUAUACUUUAUUGUCACCAAACAACUGGUACUAGAAUGUACAAUCAUCACAGUGAUAUUUGAUUCUGCGCUUCACACUCCCUGGAUUACAAAUAUUAAAUAUUUAAAAUAUUAAAAGUAGUUAAAAUUAGUAAAUAUUAAAAAUUUAAAUUAUAUAUCAUAAAUAGAAAAUAGAAAAAUGCGAAGUAAGGUA